rnacentral:rRNA from 1 species
CAGCCGCCGCGGUAAUACGUAGGUGGCAAGCGUUGUCCGGAAUUAUUGGGCGUAAGGGGCUCGCAGGCGGUUUCUUAAGUCUGAUGUGAAAGCCCCCGGCUCAACCGGGGAGGGUCAUUGGAAACUGGGAAACUUGAGUGCAGAAGAGGAGAGUGGAAUUCCACGUGUAGCGGUGAAAUGCGUAGAGAUAUGGAGGAACACCAGUGGCGAAGGCGACUUUCUGGUCUGUAACUGACGCUGAUGUGCGAAAGCGUGGGGAUCAAACAGGAUUAGAUACCCGCGUAGUCCCUGUCUCUUAUAC